GGUGUUCCACAGGGACCUGUAGAAGUGGGAGUGCCCACACCUGACAAAGUGUACUGCAUAUCUGGUGGCAGCAGUGAGAUGUCCUCUAUGCUUACAGCUGCGUUUUUGUAAGCAUCCUGGGCCACAUAGUGCUUUCUGUGGGAGUGACGUGAACGCGACUUCAGGCUCGACUGGGUCUUCGUCAGUAACUGUGCCUGACCCACGACGCGGUGGUCGAC